rnacentral:rRNA from 1 species
UACGUAGGUGGCAAGCGUUUGUCCGGAAUUAUUGGGCGUAAAGCGCGCGCAGGUGGUUUCUUAAGUCUGAUGUGAAAAGCCCACGGCUCAACCGUGGAGGGUCAUUGGAAACUGGGGGAACUUGAGUGCAGGAGAGAAGAGUGGAAUUCCACGUGUAGCGGUGAAAUGCGUAGAGAUGUGGAGGAACACCAGUGGCGAAGGCGACUCUUUGGCCUGUAACUGACACUGAGGCGCGAAAAGCGUGGGGGAGCAAACAGG